UGGGGUAUAGCCAAGCGGUAAGGCAAGGGACUUUGACUCCGACUCCCUCAUGCGUUGGUUCGAAUCCAGCUACCCCAG
rnacentral:tRNA from 1 species